rnacentral:rRNA from 1 species
UGGCCUAACACAUGCAAGUCGAACGAACCCUUCGGGGUUAGUGGCGCACGGGUGCGUAACGCGUGGGAACCUGCCUUUAGGUUCGGAAUAACUCAGAGAAAUUUGAGCUAAUACCGGAUAAUGUCUUCGGACCAAAGAUUUAUCGCCUUUAGAUGGGCCCGCGUUAGAUUAGAUAGUUGGUGGGGUAACGGCCUACCAAGUCGACGAUCUAUAGCUGGUCUGAGAGGAUGAUCAGCCACACUGGGACUGAGACACGGCCCAGACUCCUACGGGAGGCAGCAGUGGGGAAUAUUGGACAAUGGGCGAAAGCCUGAUCCAGCAAUGCCGCGUGAGUGAUGAAGGCCUUAGGGUUGUAAAGCUCUUUUACUAGGGAUGAUAAUGACAGUACCUAGAGAAUAAGCUCCGGCUAACUCCGUGCCAGCAGCCGCGGUAAUACGGAGGGAGCUAGCGUUGUUCGGAAUUACUGGGCGUAAAGCGCGCGUAGGCGGCCUAUCAAGUCAGGGGUGAAAUCCCGGGGCUCAACCCCGGAACUGCCCUUGAAACUGGUAAGCUAGAAUACUGGAGAGGUGAGUGGAAUUCCGAGUGUAGAGGUGAAAUUU